rnacentral:rRNA from 1 species
UACGUAGGUGGCAAGCGUUGUCCGGAAUUAUUGGGCGUAAAGCGCGCGCAGGUGGUUUCUUAAGUCUGAUGUGAAAGCCCACGGCUCAACCGUGGAGGGUCAUUGGAAACUGGGGAACUUGAGUGCAGAAGAGGAAAGUGGAAUUCCAAGUGUAGCGGUGAAAUGCGUAGAGAUUUGGAGGAACACCAGUGGCGAAGGCGACUGCCUGGGGAGUAACUGACGCUGAGGCGCGAAAGCUGGGGGAGCAAACGGG